rnacentral:snoRNA from 1 species
CGGCAAUGAUGUCUGAAUUUCUUCACCUGAAUCAUCCCGUGUGGAUCAAAACAUACGAGCUUUUUAACCCUGAGCCAA